GAUGAAGAACGCAGCGAAAUGCGAUAAGUAAUGCGAAUUGCAGAAUUCAGUGAGUCAUCGAAUCUUUGAACGCACAUUGCGCCCGCGAGUAUUCUCGCGGGCAUGCCUGUCCGAGCGUCAUUUCAACCCUCAGGGCCCGCCUGCUUCGGCAGGCGCGGCGCUGGUGUUGGGGAUCGGCCUAACCGCCGUCCCCCAAAUACAGUGGCGGUCUCGCUGCAGCCUCCCCUGCGUAGUAGCAACACUCGCAUGCGGAGCGCGGCGCGGCCACGCCGUAAAACCCCCGACUUUCUGAACGUUGACCUCGGAUCAGGUAGGAAUACCCGCUGAACUUAAGCAUAUCAAUAAGCGGAGGA
rnacentral:misc_RNA from 1 species